rnacentral:lncRNA from 1 species
UAAUUUGUAACGACAAUACCCAUCAAGAGAAUUAUCAAUCUAAUAGUUUGACCAUUUCUUCUACAUGUUUUGUUUUUUCUCAAAAUUGUUCAGAUUUACAGAUCCAGUUUGAUCAUUGCAAUAAUGGAUGAAGGUCAAUCUGCAGAUGGGAAUGAAGAUAUUCAUCAAAUAAAAUUGUCAAAAACCUCCAAAUCAAAUCGACGAAAUACCAAAGGUAUCCAAAAAUAAUAUGUAUUUUUUUUUGAAAGGAUCCAUAAAUAUUAAAUUGUUAUCCAUUUAAUUGUUAUAUAUUCAAUAUUUAAAUGGUGGCUAACAUUCAUUUGUACAUUACAAAAUUUGAAUGAGCUAUUUUUUUUUUUUUUUUUAAUUUUCAAUUCAAACUGCCAAAGAUGAUAACCAUGCUUUGGUCACUAUUCAAGACUCUAAAGGCUUGUUUGAUCUCGUAAUCAGUAAGUUUCAUAUAUUUGAAAUGAAAGUAUUUGAAUUCCAAAAGAAAAUUCAAGAUGAAUUUCAACUUCCUGAUAUAGGUUAGUAUCAUUUUUCCCUUCCAACUAAAAAUUAAGUCUAAUUUUUAGUCAUUAAAUAUACCUUGCAAUUUUUUAUUUUUUAUGUUUUCAAUCCUCUAUAUUAAUAUUAUGCAGUAGUUUCACUAUAGUAUAAGUUAUGAUAUAUUUAAAUAUAUGAUGACAUUUUACCUUUUGUUUUAAAUAGUGAUGUCUAAAGACAAUACACCAGACAUUAUCUCCAUGACUUUAGAACUUGGAGCAGCACGCUAUAUUGUUAACGCAUUUUGUAAUGAAAACUUUAGAGACAUUUGGAAGUAUGCAUUGGAAGCAAAGAAAAAUAAACUAUUUAUUGAUAGUUUAUCUGCAGCAGGUGAAGAACAAGAGACAUCAACUGAUCUACUACAAACAAAAAAGAAAUGUAGUAAAAGAAAGAGUUGUGAUUAUAGCCAAGAUGAAGGGGAGUUUGAAAUUAAUAAGAAAUUUAGUAAAAUCAUCACAACUCCCCUUCAUCUUAACAACUCCAAACUCCCAUUCACCUUGGUGAUUACCAAAACUCUUUCUUUUACUACAUUUCUUUUUUGUUUGUAGUUGAUCAAUUGAUGUUUCUUCUUCUUCACUUGCUGCAAAUAAACUAUCAAUAAAUAGUUUAUUUUUCUUUGCUUCCAUAGCAUAUUUCCAAAUAUCUCUAAGGUCUUUAGGACAAAAUGGUUUAACAAUGUAGGGUGCUGCUCCCUGUUCUAAAGUCAUGAGAUUAUGUUUGGUGUAUUGUCUUUCGACAUCACUAUUUGAAACAAAAGGUAAAAGUCAUAUAUUUAAACAUAUCAUAACGUAUACGAUAGUGAAAGAACCGCAUAAUAUUAAUACAGAGUAUUUAAAACAUAAAAAGUUAAAAAGGACAAAAUUGCAAGGUAGAUUUAAUAGUUGGGAGGGAAAAAUGAUACUUACCUAUAAUAGGAAGUUGAAAUUCAUCUUGAAUUUGCUUUUGGAAUUCAAAUCCAUUCAUUCCAAAUAUAUGAAACUCCCCGAUUAUGAGAUGAAACAAGUCUUUAGAGUUUCGAAGAGUGACCAAAGCAUGAUGAGCAUAUAUGGCAGUUUGAACUGAAAAUUAAAACAAAAUAAAUAAAAUAAGCUCAUUGAAAUUUAUUUUUCUUUGCUUUUGUUCUAAAGCUGAAAAUUGUUUUAAAGACACAAGCAUUUGUUGUUGUACAUUUAAUAUUUCUUCGGAACAUCAUAAAUGAUUUGAUUUACUUUUUCCCACUCCUAGAUAACAUUAAGAAAGACAAUGAGGUUGAAAUUUAACAAUUUUGAUUUGAAUUCUUCUUAAUAGACUUUUAUGGUCAAUACAAAGGUUUAUGUAUAUCUAGACAUGUGGAACUCAAUGAUUUGGUAUAAGAAAAAGUUAAAAAGAGCAAAGAAAUUGUUUCUAAUGAUAAUAAAAAAGAAGCUGAAAUGAUGAAAAAUUCUAAGAGUCACGAUAAAGAAUUUUCUAGUUCCUCUGGCAAGGACUGGGAAAGAAAUGAUGAAAUGAUUCAAGGAGCACUGAUAGAUGGACCACCUUAGGUGGUUCUACCACUCAUACCACCCUUGUGUGGCACAUUUAAUUAUUAAAAGAAAUAGCUUAAUAAUCCAUGUCAUACCAGAAGAUAAAAAGAAAAAGAAAGUUGUACAUUCUCUCUCUCUCUCUCUCUCUCUCUCUCUCUCAUCUCAUUCACUCGGUCCUCUCUCUCUCCCACUCUUGUUCCAUUUUCUCUAGGGAAGAUGAUUUCCACAACCAUUCUCGUUGAUGCCGUCGCCGUUACAUCUUGAUAGAUUUUUCGGAAGGUUGAUCUCCAACCACAUCCUUGUUGUCACUGUCGAUUUUUCUGUGCUCAGGAAUCCCUAUUUUGUUCCUCCUGUUUUCUUCCUCUUCCAUCUUCAACUCAGGUAUAUUCAUCUCUGGUCUUUUUGUUCGAUUCACUAGUUCCGACUUGCGAUUUUUGUUUGUUCCUUUCUUUUUGUGUGUGUGAUUCAAUUCUCUUGUUCCUCAUAUCAGUUUAAUUUGAAUUAAAUUUAAACAUUUUUUAUGAAAAAUGUAAAUCUCAAUUCGGUUCAUUUAUCAGUUUAAUUUGAAUUAAAUUUAAACAUUUUUGUGAAAAUUGUAAUCUCAAUUUGGUUAAUCCAGAGUACUAAGAUGGGAUAUAAAGUGAUUUUUUUGAACCAUAUAUGCACUUUAGCUAAGAUAUUGAAGAUGUGUAGUUAAUCAUGGGUGGAAUUUGAUGUUAUUAGUAUUUGAUUGAGUUUGAUCGAUUAAGUCUUUAGAGACUGGGUUAGUCUCUUAAUAAAUCCUUACUUUUUUUUUUAUGGAAAUUGAGUCAGUUUAUUAGUUAACAAUGGAGGUGUAAUGCUGAUUAGAUUUCAUAAUAAGAUAAUUUAAUCAAAUGUUUAUUGGUAUCUUAAUUGCAUUAGAUUUAUGUUGUGAUAUUGAUAAACUUAUAGGUGACCAAUUUUGAAUGCAGAACAACAAUUUGGUCACGCCUUUGAAAAUUUGUGGUUAUAUGCUUCAAUUAUUUGGUUAUAUGUAUUUUUCCUGUGAAAACAAUAUCAAUUUUUCAAUUUAUCAACAAAAUAUCAAAAGUUACCACCUUCUAUGUUUCUUGGUCUCUUAAUCACGCUAAUAAAUGACAAAUUUUGAACGCAGGAAAAAAACUAUGGUCGUGCCUUUGAAAAAUCGUUGCUAUAUGGUUUUGUUAUUUGGUUUUGUGUAUUUUUUCUUCGAGAAAAAUAUCAGUUUUGCAAAUUUAUCAGCUAAAUAUCAAAAGUGACCACCUUCUAGGUUUCUUGGUCUCUAAAUUACAUUUGAUUUAUGUUGUGAGUUCACUUCAAAGCUCAAUUGUACAACCAUUUCUGUUGUGAUGAAUCUGAAUCUUAACGUGGAUGCAAGAUGCUUCAAGGAUGAUACAAUGAGAUAGUAGUCUAGAUACUGUAUAAGAUUUAUAGAAUUUGUUGCAACAAAACUAGAAUGAAGGCCACUAUCCUCUGCUUUGGCCGAAGUAUUAGCUCUACAGCGGUGUCUCCAAUGGAUCCUCACAACAAAUCAAAAUGGACACGUCCUCGUAGAAACUGAUUCUAAAGUCACAAUGAAAUGUAUCCAAGGUCUGAUUUGGAUGAUUGAGAUAUAAAAUAUUAUUCCAGACUGCGUAGACAUUUCAUCCACUAUGUCCAAUUGUGUUGUUCCUUUUAUUAAAAGAACUAAGAUUAUUCUUGUCCAUAGCCUAGUGGUAGUAGAAAAAAGUUUGGUUUUAACUCAUGGUUGGGAUAUGUCCCUAAAACCGCAGCCUCUGCUACUUAUACUAAUAGGCAUAACCAUCUUUAAUCGAAUACUUGUUUGAUUGUAAAAAUAAUUAUUCAUGUAUCAAUGUUGCACUAUGAACACAGAUAAUUGCAUCUAGUCACUUAACUUUCUAUCUUGAUUAUCAUGUAACUUAUAGAUGAGUAAUUUUGGAUGCUUGAAAAAAAGAUGGCUAUAUCUUUAUAAUACUGUGGUUAUAUGUUUCAAUUACUUGGUUACUAGGAAUUAUCUUGUGAAAACUAUAUCAUUUUAAACCAAUCUAUCAAAGAAAUACUGAAAGUAACAAUUUAUUAUACUUCUUUGACUAUAAUUCCAUUAAGUUUCUUUUGUGAGGUUGGUAAACUUACAAAUGAGAAAUUUAGAAUGCAUGAAAAAAAUAUGGUUACUCCUUUGUAAAAUUGUGGGUAUAUGCUUCAAUUAUUUGGUUACAUGGGUUAUCAUAUGAAAACUAUAUGUCAAUUUAAGUCAAUAAUAUACCAAAAAUAACCACCUAUUACGUUUCUUGAACUCUAAUUCCAGUAAUUUUUGUUAUGUUAAUUGAAAAAAAAAAUAUCAGGAACUUGUGAAAUAACCAAACAGUUAAAAUGUGUAUCCACUUUUCAUCAAAAGAGUAACUACAAAUUUUUUAGUAUUGAAAUUAGCAUGUGACUUUGUAUAUCGUCUCUUAAUUACAACACACAUAAAAAGGGCACACUCAUGACAUUUCUCUGAUAAGUUUUGAGAAAUUUUAAAAAUUUGACAAGAACGUGUGAACUUAACAAAUUGCUGAAGCAUCUUUAUUGUAGAAAUUAACAUUAUCACCUCAUAAUUUUACAAGUUACUUAAAAGGGACACACUCAUGGUAUUUCUCUUAUAAGUUUUGAGUAAUUUCAAAAAUAUGACAGCAACAUGUGAACUAGCCAAAUUGUUGAAGCAUGUAUCCACUUUUUAUCAAAGGAGUACCUAAAAAAAAAAAUAGUGUUGAAAUUAACAUUUGUUACUUUUUAUCAUCUCAUAACAUUAUAUAAACAUAUAAAAGGGACACACUCGUGGUAUUUCUAUGAUAAGUUUUUAGAAAUUUCAAAAAUAUGAAAGAAACUCGCGAACUAACCAAAUUGUUGAAGCUUUUAUCCACUUUUUAUCAAAAGAGUAAACCAUUUUUUUACCAAAUUUCAUUACAUACAAAAAUAAGUUACGAACUUAUAACAAAAUGAUAAUAUCUUCCAAUGGAACUAAAACUUAGCAUGUCUUGUUAUAAUUUUACAAUAGAACUAUAACUCAUCAAGUCCUAUCACUAAUUUACAAAUUUCCUGCAAAGGGAUGAACUUUUCCUUGUGAUUGAGUUCACCUCAUCCUGUAUCAUCUAUGAUGGCACGUUAUUAGGUUGACUUGUUGAUAAGUAUCAAUCCUAGAUAAUUCAAUUGAUCUAAGCACUGCAUUCAAUAUCAAAGCUCUCAUUUUCACAACUUUCAUGGAUGUGUUGUUUUUAUCAAAAUCAACUUGCUAAUCAACGGAUCAACCUGAAAAUUCAUCAAUGUUAAUGCUUCUAUAUCGAACUUAAGAAAAUAAUAAUAGAAGGUAACCUAACAUGUUAUUGAAAUUAGCAUAGUCCAUUUUUUUUUUUUAUCAUUACUUGUUCAAUGGCUUAAUGAGCAACUAUAUUUGUUCUUGGACCAACUUUUAAUUAAUCAUAAUCUAACAAGAAUACAGAAUCUAACACACAGAAACAUCAUUGAUCAAAGGAAGUAACAUACCUUUUUGUUCUGUUUCAUGGUUCAUGACUAAAUGAACAUGUUGAAAAGCUUGAAUAAGGAAUGCUAAGUAAAUAAAACUACACCCAAAUAAAUUCAUCAUUUUGUAAACUAACAGCAGGACUUAACAUAUAAAACUAAACAAGAAACAUGCAAAAACACCCCAAUGAUGCUAAAAAAGCAAUGACAACAAAUCAAAGAAACCCAAGAUAAGAUAUGUGUAGCCAAAACCAAAUGCCUCUACAACUAAAAGUACAACUUAGUCCAACUAACCGCACAAUUAAAAGGGUUCCAAUAACCCCAUGAAGCUUAAACAAAGAAGAUACAUGAUCAAAUGAAACAGCAGAGCAAUGAAUCCCAAAAAAUAUGUUAUGUGAAGUACUCCCUCCGGUCCUAUUUAUAAGAGAAGUUUAGGUCAACAGUAUUUGGACUGAAUUUUUAACUAGAUACAUCAACUUUUGUUGACAAAAAAUUCUCUUAUAAAUAGGACCGGCGGGAGUAUAUUGCUUGGGACGCCUGACCAAUUCAAAACUGAACAUAAGACAUCCCCUAUGACCACAAACUCAUUAAUAUAAUCACAAGAUUCAUCAUCAAAAACAUCACAACUCCGCACAACCAUACAAUUCAACCUACAAGCUUAUUCACCAUGAAUCAUUCAUAGGCAUAAUUCUCUUCAAACAUGAAAAUUACAAAUUCUUUAAACUGUACACUAAUCAACUGAACUACUACUACGAGAAAAAUGAAACUACACAUCAAUUCAUAAUAUAAGUCCAGCAAAACCCAUUUAAGAUGUUAUGAUGAUUUUAAAUAGAUUUAAUUUAAUCACAAAAUGGAUCACAAACAUUUCCUUCUUCACCUAAUUUAUUCUACUAUUAUGUAUACAAUUUACAGAGAAUACAUUUUAAUGGGAUAUUCUAAUGAAUAACAAUAUUUCACCUUAGAUCUUGAAACUGAUUAUUGAAUUUAAUGUUUCUUUUGCAACAAUAUUCACAACAAUUAUAACAAAUACAAACACAUGUUCUCAACACUAGUUUAAUGCACUUAACCAUAUUAUAACAAAUAAUUAACCACACUUUUUUUUCUUUCCAAAAUUCCCGCAGUUAGCCAUUUUUUAACAUAACUUUGACCACGAAUCACUAAAGACAUACUAAAUAAUUGGAGGAGAACUUGUGAAUUUUGACUGAGAAAAUAACAAUGAGAGGUGAAUGUUAUUCUAUGUAUAACAUGUUUCACACAAACUAACAAAAGAAUGACAUAACUUAACCAAUACAAAUUAUCAUCCCAACCCCAUUUGUAGAUCCCAUCAAAUGCAACCAACAACAUAAGAUCUUAAUAGGCAACAACCCAAAAGGAGACAAUAAGACAGUAAUGUAACAGAAGAUUUUAACAAAAUUAUGACCUAAACUUCUAAAUACUAUCAGGCUUCAAUUAACUCAUAAUUCUCACAAAAUCAAUAUCAUAAUAUGAUUAAUUUCUACACCAUGAAAUUCUAAUUCCUUUGAAGUUGUUCACAAAUAAUUUCAAAUCAACACAAAUCAUUAAGGUUUAACAAAUCAUUUAAAAAAAAACAUUCAAUUUUGGAGAAAAACAUUCAAGAUGCAGACAUAUAAACCAUAAACACAAAUCCUAGUCAUAAAAUAAAAUGAAAAUUUGAGAUUAACCUCGCCUAAGAAUAGAGAGAUUGUGGGAAGAAAACAAUUGCUGAUUGUGAACCGACAGUGAUUGUGAGACAACAGUUGUGUAACGAAAACGGGUUGGUCGGAAGAGAUCGCAGAAGAGGACAAACAGUGGGAGGAGAUCGCGUGUUGGUAGAGAGAGACUUCUCCAGUGAGGAUAGAGAGAAAUGAAAGAUAUGAUGUUUCCUUUUACCUUCUUAUUUUAUGUUUGUUUUAAUUUUAUUUUUAAUGUUUUAUAAGCUGCUUUCCAUGUCACUAGGCCUCUUUUUUUAAUAUUUUUUUUACCAACUCAAGAGUGGUAGGAGGGUGUAUCACCUAAAGGGUGUUCACGUAUCUUUUUCAUAUCAGUUAUAGCAAAACCCACUAAUUAUUGGUGCAAGAAAUAUUAACACAAAAAACCUUUAUUUAUAUGACCAAGUAUUUAUAUAUUUCUUUCUAUUCUCUGUUGUGUGACUUUUUUCCAACACUAAUUCAAGGUAAAUUUCAACAAAUAAGAACUUUAAAAUAACAAACAAAAAAUUAACCCACACAUGUUUCAACAAAAAAUAACAAAAAAGUAUAACUUAGAUAUAUUUCAAGCCUUAACCACUACAAUAUGUAUCGCAACAUUCGCGAUGCAAGCAAUCAUGACUGCAACCGCAGCCACAAUUUAUGAACGUAAGGUAUUGUGAAUGAAUGAGUGGUAAAUGAAUGUAGUGGUAGCCGAUAAUAGAUAUGGUGAAAAAUGCACGUUUAGGGGCUAAAAUAAAAGCAUCUCAGUCAAGAAAUGUUGUGAUGUUAGCUAACACCGGCGCAUAAUAACUUACGUUGGGUGCCACCGCGAGUUAACUCACGCUAAAGUUAUUUAGGGAAAAUCGGGGUGGAAUGAGAAAUACCAUAAGGAGAAAAGCAAUUUUUGAAUCAUAAUAACACUAAAAUAUAAAUGGGUUUUUCUAACCUAUGCAACAUUGCAUAGAAUAAGGUGUAAUAAAUGUACCUCUUUUUUUCAAAAAAAAAAAAACUAUCAUAUUAAUUUCCCUCCAUCUCUCUCCUCUACCACUCUAUUUAUUGUAUUUUUUGAAAAACUAAAUAUUCAUCUUCCAAAUACUACCUCCGGUCCUAUUUACAAGAGACAAUUUACUUUUUAGAUACAUUGAAUAAUUUAUAUAUUUGGUUUAGGUUCUUGACUAUAUACAUACAUUGAAUAAUUUACUUUUUACAACUCAAUAUUUAGUUCAGCUUGGUUCAUUCACAAUAUUUUUUCCUUGUGCGUUAUAUAUUUUUCUCAGGUGACAAGUGCUCAAAACUCACUCAUUUGUUCUCAUAUGACAGCUAUACCACAAUAAGUUAUAUAAUUACCCUCUUUCAAUUUUUUCACGUUUUUCUCAUAUGUUCUCAACUAAUUCCUUAUGUAACGUAGCUAUGACUAUGCUACACUACUUAAAUUGCAAUUGUACAUCCGAAUGACUAUUUUUUAUAUUUUACGGAAUGAGAUUAGUCUUUGAAUUUGUUGCUACUAUCUAAAUUUUUGGAGUUAAAUUUGUUCUUGUUAUCUAAAUCCUUCCAUAUAGUUAUUUUUGGAGUAUAUAAAUGUUCUGCUUUCAUAAUUGAGUUAAAUUUUUUCUGGCUUCUAUAUUUAAAUAAAUUUUCUUCGCACUCAGCGUUCCAUUUAAUUCAUCAAUACUUUUCCAUGCACUUAAAAAAAUGGUUAUAAAAAUAAAAUAAAAAGUGAAUGGUUAAUAUGAUAGUCUUUGUUGAAAAAAGAGGUACAUUUAUUGCACCUUAUCCUAUGCAAUGUUGCAUAGGUUAGAAAAACCCUAUAACAAGAUGGAAUAAGCCAAUGAAACAUUGGUAUAUAUAUUUGUGGGUUAUACCAUGGAUAUCCAAAAACAGUUGUUUUCUUUGGCACAUUAAUUGGUUUAUUCAUGAUAGCGAAUGGUCAAAACUCAGUGGCGUUUUUGGUCCAUCCUCCCAAUUCUUGCACUUUAAAGAAGUAGAAAACAGAAGCUGUGAAUAUAUAAAAUUAGAGUAUUUUUUAAUCAUAUCUAAAGAGAGAAUCUAUAUUGCUUUGAAAGAAUGACUUCAUUAUUCUAAUACAGUUGAAACAUAGCACACUAAAUGAGGCAAAUAGUGAGGUGGAAAUUCGAUCCUUCUAAUUUCAAACAAAGACACAAAAGAGAAGAAAACAUAUCGGUAUAAAAUUUUAAUUCCUUUUGUGCAAUCUCUUUCAUAUAUUAUGAAGUGGUGAUAACUUUUACCUUAUGACAUUGGAUGUGUUCUCUCAACCACUUCAUAAAAUGGAGCAUAUUAUGAUUCUAUUUCUAAAAGCUGAACAUGAAAAAUAAUAAAGAAAGAAUCUUAAUGGAAAAACUUAUUUCAAGACUAUAUAUGAUACUAGCUCCUUCAAGCAUAUGCCAUUGUUCUUAAAAAAGGAGAAUUAGUAGCAUUCAAGAGAAGUAUAUCCAAAGCAUAAAACCCUUGAGAAUUAGCCUAUAUAACUUGUUGGGAGUGUCAUUUGAUACUUAGCAAACUAGACACAUUAAAGUAAGCAAAUCAGUCAUAGGGCAUGUCUCUAUUGGCAGGUGAUAUGGUGAUAUUUCAUUUGACUUUAAGGCUCUAGAAAUUCACUUGCCAAAGGAGAGCUGCCCUACGAGUGUUUAGCUUAAACAUUUUUUACAUUUUUCCUUGUUAUUCAUUGCAAGGAGCUUCUCAGCUUUAAAUAAAGGCAUGAUUUUGUUAGGGAUGUCUUUUUUGAUAUAUUUAGGUGGGCGGUCGUAACUUUGAAGAAGGAGACGCUCGUUAACUUCUUGGUCGACUCAGAAAAAAGAAAAUUGACACUUAGGCCAACAUAUGUUCUUGUGUAUGUGUGGGUAGGAGGGUAACAUGCAUGUUUGAACUUGACUGAGGUCUCCCCGAGUGACUGUAUCCUCUUCAAGGUUGCCACACUCGACGAAGUUUGGCAAUUCAUAAAGUGUCUCUUUUUUUUUUUCUUCUUUUUCUGAAUGGACAAUAUUAGUACGGUAAUUGUUAUGCUAAUUUUUUCUCCUUUCUAGGACUUGAACCCUAAACCUCUAACUCCUUAUAACCUUUUUCUCAAACCAGUUGAGCUACCCUAUCUUGAAGGGAUAUACAUUUCAACACCACCUCUAUUGUAGACAUUAAAACUCACACGCUAUAAUUCAUAAAAUUGAUUAGUUCAUUUUUUAAACUCAUCAUCAUGCCAUCUUCAAUCAGUAUCAAAGUACCUUAGCAGUCUCAUCAUCUUAUAGGUAGGAACUAUAACAAAAAGUACGAGUGUUAAUUGUGACAAUAAGCGAUUUUUGGAUAGUUUCUUGAACUACAAGCUAUUGUUAGAAAGUACAGAUGAUUAACUACUUGUUAGUUAGUUAGUUAUGUUGUUAAUUAGUUAGAUAAGCUUGUAUGUAAAUAACUUACUCUAAAUACACUUGUAGAGUCUGCAACAUAUUUUGUCAACAACUUCUAUUGGUGAUGAACCCAAAAUUAAACAUUGAGCAGUAAAAGGAGGAUCUUGCCAUUCAACUAAAGGAAGAAAGUUGAACCAAAGGGAAGGUUGGUGGUGAACAAAUUCUAGGUAUUGCACUAAAGAAAGAUUCAAGACUUCAUUUUGUCCAUCCAUUUUAGGAUGGUAGAAAGUACUCAUUCUCAACUUGAACAGUUUGCGCCAAAUAUUAUUGAUGAAAGCAUGAUCCAUGUCAGAGACUAGUCUUCUAGGUAACAUUACCAUGAGGAAGGAAUAAAGGUGAAGUCAAUAGAAAGAUCUUCCCAUAUGGAAUAAUUAACUAGCAAAUUGAUUGAUAUUUGGCAAGUCUAUCAGAACUCAUCAAGUAAUAAAAGAGUUUGUAUCCACAGGUAUUAUACGAUUAGUUAGAAAACUUACCAAUUAUAUGUUAGUUAUAAGUGAUCAAUUUAGAGGGUUUGCAUAAACUUUGGUUUUAAAGAAUGAAAAAAAAUUGAAUAAAACAAGGAUGGAACAAGCGAUUAGAACUUCUGAAUUUCUUACGCUAAUUAUCACAUUAAGAUGAUGUAAUAUGUCUAAAGCGUUUAUCUAAUGAACAUUUAUCCAAGAUCCAGUUACAAUAACCAAGACUAACAGACAAUUGUUUCCUAGUUCAUUUCAUAAGGAUACUUGAAUAAUUCUAAAUUUUAACUGCAUAAAUAGGUACUCAAUAUGGUUAAAGUAGAUCUUAACGAGCAUAAUGAAGCUGCCCUUGGUAAUGGAGUUGUUUUGAUGAUGUUUGAUUAAAACUAGGUAUUAAGUGUGUUUGAUGAUGUUUAUUGUUUACAUGUUCAUAGUAAUUACUAACGAUGUUUACAUGUGCAUAGUAAUUAGUAUAUAUUAAAGCACCUAGCCAUCCAUGAUCUUAAGUUUCUUCAAAGUGUCUCGUCUGUCAAGUUUCAUUUUGUGGCAAAACUCAUUUCUCCGUACCUUUGAAUCGUAUCACAAAUUGAUGAUUUGUAUCAUGCUCGAAUCGAAUCACAAUUUGGUUGUUCGUAUCAUUUGAGUUCUCUAAUCUUGUGAUUUGCCUGAACAAAUCGUAUCAAAUAUUCUUUAUUUGUAUCAAUCUUCAUCUAAAAUUUUUUGAAUUGUAUUAAAUAUUAUUUAUUCGUAUCAAUCUUUAUAGCUUCAUAUUUAUCCUUGCCUGAAUGAAUCAUAUCGAAUAUUCUUGAUUCGUAUAUGUUGGAUUUUUAUUUGUGUUGGCCGCAUUAUGUUAAAAAAAAAAUAUUCUAGCAAGAUGUUGGGAAAGCUGUCCUAGACAUGUUAGUACAACAACUUAACUUAAGGUGAAGUAUUAUGUUUCGCAAUCUUGAAAGAUUUGGUUUAUGGGUGAGAUCAUUGAAGAUUUGAUAGAAGAGAUGAUUCACGUAGCUUGUGCUCCAAGAAGCGUGUGGUUCUAGAAGCCUCCUUUGUCGUUUUGUCCUUGACCGUGUUUUAGUAUUUAAUGUCCUAAACAUUUUAGGAAACAUUUUAUAUGCUUCUAUAAAAUUGUAGCUGAAGACACUAUUGGAUCAACUGUAUUGUUUAGCCCGACAGAUGAUCAAGCACAUGCACUCUCUGUCUAUAUAAAGGAAGACUCAAACCUAAAGAAGACUACUGAAGUCGUAAUUGAGAAAAGUGUCAUCUAGAGUUUUAUUUUGUACUUUGUUAUUUGUGAGCCACUCUUGUAUACCCUUGAUGCAUUGAGUUGGACUGAUAGUUGAGUUGUAUUUGUGAACUGCUCUAAAGCUUUUAAGCAAAUAGUAGGUUUUAUUUAUUGGAGUGUGUCUCCUUGAGUGUAAUCAUUGAAAUCACGGGUUGUGUGAUUAAGAGAAAGUGAGAUGGGAUCUCAUAUCUAAGAGAUUCUUAAAUAGAAAUAUCACGGGAAGUGAUUAGGUGAGAAGGCAGUGAACCAACUACUGUUCACAUAGGACUUCAAACUAAUACUAUUAUAGUAGAUUUUCUUCCUGGCUUGGAUGUCCCCAGAUGUAGGUGACGUUGCACCGCACUGGGUUAACAAAUAUCUUGUGUUAUUUCCUUCUUGUACUUUACUUUAAAGUUGUUUAUUGUUUAUUGUGUUAAGUAUUUGUUAUUAAGUGUUAUGAACAUUUCAUUCGACAUUCUUGGUGUCCUGGACAUCUCAUAGAAUAUUUGUCCCGUACGUGCCAGAAUUUGAGUAUCAAUCUUUAUCUCGAAACUUUUGAAUCAUAUCAAAUAUUUUUUAUUCGUAUCAAAUCUUCACAACUUUAAAUUUUUUUUCCUUUUUCAUGUGUCUGAAUCGAAUCAUACUUAACAUGAUUCGAAUCAUGUAGUUGUUUUUGCCACAAAAAUUGCACUUGUCAGUCAUGUAUAUAUAUAGUUAUACUAAUACACCUUCCAACUUAUUUAAUCAAUUGCAAAUAAUAUUCUAGAGUCUCCAAACCUCUCUCUCCACUUGUUCUUGAGAUUAAACACUUUUUCUAAGAUUUUUUUGUGGAUUUUUAGUCAUAGAUUGCUAGAGUGUUAUAGGAAUUGUACACUAGUUUAUUUUGAAGUAACUUGAUUGAGGAUCAAGGAUCUAAAGGACAAGAGGGAUUUCUUUCCACCUCGAAGGGAAAUUGUGGGGGCUUUCUAACUUUUCAAGUUUAAGGGGAUCCAAAUUUCAAACAUAGAAAAUAAGAAUUCAAGGUGAAGGAAUUCCCAGGAUUUCAUGGGAACUUGAGUUUCGAAAACUUAGGAAAUCUCCAAUUUCAACGGGUACUUGAAGAUCGGUGGUGUUGUGAUUUCUUAGGAUUGAAGAUUAGGGUUAUCGAGGGAAUUAUUUGUAAUCCUAACAAUUUCUAAACAAUUUUCAACAAUAGUAAAAGUUCAUGAUAACGACGUUUUCUAUCAAGAAAAGUAAACAUAUCUCGAAGCGAGGACGAAAGGGGCAACUACUAUAAAUCCCGGUGUUCUCUACCCUAUCAUUUUAUAUUUUUGCCUUACUAUUUGUAUAUGAAUUUUGUGUUUGACACUAUUUGAUUUGAUUGUGAUUAAUUUUUUAACUUAACAUAAUCUCGAUUCAUUGAAUUAAGAUUCUUUUCAAAUUCAAUUUGAUCAUAAUUAAGUUUCGUCUCUAUGUGGUUUAUUGUAAUUAGGUUUGGUUUGAGUAUGUCUAAUUUUGAAAUUUUUAUGCUUGAUUAUUAAUAAUUGAUGAUUUUAAACAUUGUCUUAGACUUGUCAUCAUUGGAAUCUGAUAAGUCAUACGUUUUCAAUUCAGGCCUUCGCAAACUCUUUUGAAAAUCAAAAAACCUUUUUAAACCCCCCCAUAUGCACCUUCUUGUUCAUCGUAAAGACCAAUAAAUGACAUCAAGAACGUGGUCUGUUCACUAACAGUUAACUACCGAAAGAGUCGAUAUGAUGAACAAAGAGCCUUAGUGGGAGUACAGUAGGGCUCCAAUUUUUUACGGCAAAAAAUGUGAAUAUUGGAAAGAAUGCAUGAACUUCCAUAUUCAAUAAGUCGACAUGGAUGUUGGGAACGCCAUGGUCAACUAGCGGUCCGAACCUCAAGUUGAAGUUAACGGGGUUGCAAAAAUAAAACAUAAGGCCAAUUGGACCGACAGUGAUAAAAAGAAGAUUCAAUAUGAUUUGAAGGCAAGAAACAUUCUUAUUUCCACCAUUUGCGUGAAUGAGUAUCAAUCGGUUUCACAUUGUAAGGCCGCUAAGGCAAUAUUGGAUGCUUUGGAAACCCUCCAUGAGGGUACCGAAGACGUGAAGCAAUCAAAAUCAAUAUUCUCAUCUAACAAUAUGAACUAUUCACAUGGAGGAUGGUGAAACCAUCUCCUCCAUGCAAAUGAGCUUCACUCAUAUUGUUAACAAACCGCAAUACUUAGGAAAAGACAUCUCAAACGAAGAUUGUACUAACAAGGUACUGAGAUGCAUGACUAGAGAUUGGCAGUCCUAGGUCGCCGCAAUAAAGGAAUCUCAACCUUAACACCCUUGGAAUCACCAUUCUUUUUGGCAAGCUGAAAGAUCAUGAACACGAGAUCCUAAGGUUGAAAGAAAAUGAGGAAGAUAUCAAGAAAAAGGGAAAUAAGACCACUGCAUUCAAAGCCUCGUCGUCCAAGGCUAAACACUUGGUGGAAUAGGAUAAUGAUACCGAUGAAGACCUCACUGACAUGAGGAGAUGGAAUUAUCUGUGCACCUAUACCAUAGAUACAUUGAAAAAAAUGGGUUGAAGCAUAGUAUCAAAAAUCUUAUAAACUUUAGUAGAGCUAUUCUCAAAUGAGCUAAAUUCGAGAAGGAACAUGUACCCAAUUUAGAUGGAUGUGGAAAAUCAGGCUUCUUGAAAAUGAAUGUCUGGACUUGACCAAAGCAAGUAGAAAGUCCAAGUUUAACAUCAAUGGAAAGAGAAAAAGGAAGGAAAGCUUAUAUUGCAUGGGAGGACAAUGAUAAUAGUGAAAUUGCCGACCUAUGUCUCAUGGGACAUAAGCAUCAUGAAGUAAUUUUUUCCGACUCCUGUAACACCCCGUUUCCCAAAAUUAAUUAAAUAAUAAUAAUUCAACAUCAGAGUAAAAUCCAAACGGGCAUGUCACAUCACAUUUUCAAAAUCACUUUAAAUAGAAUAUAAAAAUCUAUUUAAUUAAACAUCAUUCGAAUUUAUCAUUAAAUCUGCAGCGGAAUAUUCUCAUCAAACAACAAUUCAUAACUGUUUUAAACUCCAUAAUAAAUUCUUGGCAUGAAAGCCUUAACAUCAUAAAAUCCAACAUCAAUAGGGCUACAACAGCAAUAUUCUAAAUUUGAUACAUAGGAAAGAAAUUAAACGAUGAAAUCUCAUCCCACGUAUCAGAGCCCUAGACACUUUGAGCCAGCACCAACUACUCAGGAUCACCUGCAAGUUACCCAUAGGAAGGGCAACAUUUUCAAGCAGAAGGGGUGAGAUUCACAACAAUAAUAUAGAUAAAGAAUGCAUCAAUUGAAUCUAACACCCUAUCAUAAUAAUUCAUCAACAUUAUAUUAAUNNNNNNNNNNNNNNNNNNNNNNNNNNNNNNNNNNNNNNNNNNNNNNNNNNNNNNNNNNNNNNNNNNNNNNNNNNNNNNNNNNNNNNNNNNNNNNNNNNNNCUCAUGGGACAUAAGCAUCAUGAAGUAAUUUUUUCCGACUCCUGUAACACCCCGUUUCCCAAAAUUAAUUAAAUAAUAAUAAUUCAACAUCAGAGUAAAAUCCAAACGGGCAUGUCACAUCACAUUUUCAAAAUCACUUUAAAUAGAAUAUAAAAAUCUAUUUAAUUAAACAUCCUUCGAAUUUAUCAUUAAAUCUGCAGCGGAAUAUUCUCAUCAAACAACAAUUCAUAACUGUUUUAAACUCCAUAAUAAAUUCUUGGCAUGAAAGCCUUAACAUCAUAAAAUCCAACAUCAAUAGGGCUACAACAGCAAUAUUCUAAAUUUGAUACAUAGGAAAGAAAUUAAACGAUGAAAUCUCAUCCCACGUAUCAGAGCCCUAGACACUUUGAGCCAGCACCAACUACUCAGGAUCACCUGCAAGUUACCCAUAGGAAGGGCAACAUUUUCAAGCAGAAGGGGUGAGAUUCACAACAAUAAUAUAGAUAAAGAAUGCAUCAAUUGAAUCUAACACCCUAUCAUAAUAAUUCAUCAACAUUAUAUUAAUAUCAUCAUUUUCAAUGUCAUCAACAAAUGGUAAUUAAAAACCAACUCAACGAAUCAUGCAACUCAUCACCACUCCACUAAGACUCCUCUAACAACACCCAUGUAUGUGGUACCAUAAUCAGGACCGUAGCCCUCACCGCUGUAGAAUGGUUAAAGCAUUCAUUUUCAGGACAUAAGUCCUCACCACUAAACACCACUUUGAGCAACUAGUGCUCCACCACUUUGAACGACAAGGCGUUCCAGAGCCGAAGCUCUCCCACUGUUAUGCUUAUGCAGCUGACCCACUUGUGUAUAUCUACAUACAACCCAACCUAUGCAUAUAUAUGUAUAUGACUCACCACUCCAAAAUACAACAUUCAUGUAUGACUUAAUUAAAUGAAGCAUACAUUCCAGCCAGCAUCAAUUCAUUAUAACCAAUUUAGAACAUCCAGAAAAAUACACCAUUAUAAUAGCCAUGCUUAAUCAUCAAGAUAAAUCAACCAUCAACAACAUAAUCAAUCAAACAAAUACUGGGCAACUCGCCUCGCGAGCACAUAUGCUCGCUAUGGCGAGCUCAAAAAACAGGACACUCGCCAUGGCGAGUUCGAGGCGAACGAAAAUAUGGUGCUCUCGGGAGUUUUGACAUUUUUCUCACUAAAUCAUCAAUUCUAAGCUCCCUAUUCAUCUUUUUAAUCUAAAACUUGCUCCAGUCCUCUCUUAAAUCAUCUAGGUACAUAAAACUACCCAAAUUACGGCUUAUAACAACACUUUAAAAAUCCAGUUUUCCUCACAGGUACUCGCCAUGGCGAGCAAAGGCUACUCGCGAGGCGAGCGAUGAACUUUCUGUAGGGGCAGAAUGCAGGUUUUUCCCAAAAAUUCCAUUUUCCUCCAAUCCACUCCCCAAAUCAGUUUACAGAUAUGAAUGAAUGGUUAUAUGCACUCAGAACCCAUUUCUAACAUCAAUAAAGCAAUCCUUACUCUCAAAACCCAUUAAUCUAACAAAAACCUAGUUUCUCCCAAUUCUCUCAUAAACCUAUUAAAAUCAAAAUCAGAAUUCAGAACCUAUACAAUUGCGGUAAACCUCACCCUUACCUUAGAAUUGCAGAAAAAUAAGCACAUCAAUUGACAGACUUGGCUCUCCUUGCUCUUCUCUCCUUUUUCUCCCAAAACUUGAUUUUCACGUAAAAACGUUUUUCUGACUUUUCUCUUUUCUUAACUCCCAAAAAGUAACUUCCCUUUCUUUUCAUUAAACUCCCCUUAAUUCUAUUAAAUAUUAAUUAACUCCCCACACUCCAAAAUAAUAUUAAUUCUCACUUAUUCUAAUUAUUAUUAAAAUAAACUAUAUAAUAAAAUCUAACACACCAUAAAAUCCACAAAUAUUAUUUUAAAAUCAUAAAUAGACUCCACAUAAAUCCAAAAUAAUUAAAUUAAAGACUAGGGCGUUACAACUCCAAAUCCAAAUAUAAUCCUUCCCAUGAGAAAUUACAAGAAGCUCUAGUAGACAUGCAUGAUGAUGCUUUGAAAGCUUUUGAGAAAUUAAUUGUUUAAAAGAAAAAUAAUCUAAAACUGGAAGCCGAGCUUUCACCACGUAAAAAUAAUUUAAAAUGUUGAAAAGACGAGUAUGCAUCUCUAGUAAAUGAGAAAAUUCUAAUUCCUCACAUUGAGCCACCUAAAGCUAAUUCAUCCAAGUAUGAUUCAAAUUGGAUGGAUUUUUCAAGUUGUGAAACUUGUCCUAGUUUACACGAACAGAUUAAAUCUCUAACAUGUAAACAUGAACAAGCCUCCAAAUCCCCAUAGUUUUGCGUGAAUAAGAAAUCCGACGCGGGGGCUGGUAAAGAGAACUUCUCCUUGUCUCCCACUACUCAGAUCUAAACUUAUCCCUUACGAAUCAAAGAGAAAUUGAACCAACAAUAUUUACUAGUGAUUAGAGUAUGGACUUCAUUUUUCUAAAUAUCAAGACAGUUGAAUUGACAAGUUUCGGAGGUUAACGAGCUUCGAAAUUCGUAAAUCAAUNNNNNNNNNNNNNNNNNNNNNNNNNNNNNNNNNNNNNNNNNNNNNNNNNNNNNNNNNNNNNNNNNNNNNNNNNNNNNNNNNNNNNNNNNNNNNNNNNNNNCUUCCUUGGAAAUGCGGAAAAUUAGCACAUCAAUUGACAGACUUGCCUCUCCUUCUCUUCUCUCCUUUUCUCCCAAAACCUGAUUUUACGUAAAAACUUUUUCUGACUUUCUCUUUUCUUAACUCCCAAAAAGUAACUUCCCUUUUUUUCAUUAAACUCCCCUUAAUUCUAUUAAAUAUUAAUUAACUCCCCACACUCCAAAAUAAUAUUAAUUCUCACUUAUUCUAAUUAUUAUUAAAAUAAACUAUAUAAUAAAAUCUAACACACCAUAAAAUCCACAAAUAUUAUUUUAAAAUCAUAAAUAGACUCCACAUAAAUCCAAAAUAAUUAAAUUAAAGACUAGGGCGUUACAACUCCAAAUCCAAAUAUAAUCCUUCCUAUGAGAAAUUACAAGAAGCUCUAGUAGACAUGCAUGAUGAUGCUUUGAAAGCUUUUGAGAAAUUAAUUGUUUAAAAGAAAAAUAAUCUAAAACUGGAAGCCGAGCUUUCACCACGUAAAAAUAAUUUAAAAUGUUGAAAAGACGAGUAUGCAUCUCUAGUAAAUGAGAAAAUUCUAAUUCCUCACAUUGAGCCACCUAAAGCUAAUUCAUCCAAGUAUGAUUCAAAUUGGAUGGAUUUUUCAAGUUGUGAAACUUGUCCUAGUUUACACGAACAGAUUAAAUCUCUAACAUGUAAACAUGAACAAGCCUCCAAAUCCCCAUAGUUUUGCGUGAAUAAGAAAUCCGACGCGGGGGCUGGUAAAGAGAACUUCUCCUUGUCUCCCACUACUCAGAUCUAAACUUAUCCCUUACGAAUCAAAGAGAAAUUGAACCAACAAUAUUUACUAGUGAUUAGGUUAUGGUUUUCAUUUUUCAAGAGUCAAGACAUUUGAUUGUUGAAUUUGAUUAUGAUGGAUAAAAGGAUUUUAAUGAUGAACUAUUUUUUUUAGUCAAUCUUAGUUGAAAGGAUAAGAGUCAUCUUAGUUGAAAAUAUGGUGUCAAUCUUAGUUGUGGGUUUCUCUUAGUCAAUUACGAUCAUCCAACUCAUUGUACGCUCUAUAACGCACUAGUUGUUAUUUUAAUUAUUUCUGAUUUAUUUAGAGUCUUUUAUAUGAUUUUAAAUAAUUAUUGUUGAUUAUGUGGUGUGUUAUAUUUUAUUAAAUGAUUUAUUUUUAGUAUUUAUUAGAAUAAUAUGAGAAAUAGAAUUAUUUGGAAUUCUAGGGGUUAUAUUUUAAUUAAGGGAAUUAAGCGGAAGUUAAUUAGAAUUAAGAGGGAGUUAAGUAAGGAGUUGGAGAAGUCAGAAAAACAGUUUUACGUACAAGCAGUUUUUGGGAGAAAAGGCUAGGAGAAGAGAAACCAAGAGGAGAGAACAAGAAUUCUGUAGAGCUUUGUUCUUCGAUUAAGGUAAGGGUGAGGUUUACUCUCAAUAGUAUAGAUUAAAGUUCUGAUUUUGAUUUUAACAUGAGGGUUUUGGUUAAUUUGGGAAUUGGGUUUAUAUUUUGAUUCUUUGAUUUUUGGAUGAAAUGAGUGUAGAAACCACUGUAUUAGUGUUAGAAUGCAUUCAGGAGGGUUGUCUCUUGUUCAUUGGAGGAGUCAAUAUACAUGGGAAGCUCUUUAUCAUAAUGAGAACUUGGGGUCUAUUUCCUUAGAGGUGGAUGAGACUGAUGUAGGAGGGUUUUCUUAGUAAUUUAUUAGUAUUUAUUAAUUCAGCCUAAUUUUAUUAUUUGUUUGUUUUAUUUUAUGUUUGUUAUUUUUGGCCCUUUAAGGUUUGUUAUUUCCCUAGUUAAGCUUUACAGAUGUAGCCUAAGAGGCAACUUUUUAUUCAAUAUUAUUUCAGAGAGCUUUUCUCAAUUUUUGGUGGUUUCCAGAACCUUUAUUUCAUAAGUUUGUCGAAUGCAAACUUGUCUUUUUUCAAUCUAGGUUUAAAGCUUGCUAGCCUACGCUUCUGUACUGCAUCACAUCCACAUUGGUUUUGAUCCAAGAGAGGGAGAAGGUGGAGUUUGUAAAACCUCUAAGAGGGUAUGACUCAUAGCACUCUUGGCUGUAGUCUAGAAAAUUGAGUUACUUUGAAAUCGUGCAUGGAGUCAUUGCCAUGACCUUUAAUUAGCUUGUAGUUGAAGUUAUUUUCUGAUAUUAUCCUAUCUAUCAGACUUUUCAUGUGAUCUUUGAAGCACCUCUUGUUUCUUUCAAUCCAAACGAGUCAAACUAUAUGCAACUUGGCAGAAAUGAUUAUAAAAUUUGGGGCCUAACUCAUAUGUACAAAACUAGUUUGUAAGGUGAGAGGUGCUUCCUCUUAAUAAACACUUCUUAACAGUCCUAUCUAUCCAAUGUGGGACAAAAUCCAGCCCCUCAAAGCCAACACAAUGAAGGUGUUAGAGGCUGUAAUGAAGGCAAACCAAAGGUCGCAAUUUAGGCGACUAGGGGCGGACCGUAAUAAAGGUGGAAUUUCCAAGACACCCCGUCACGCUUCAGCCUAGCCCAAUGGGCCUAAAGCGUGGAUGAUAUGGGAUACCCAACAAAAGAUCUAGGAUAGGCUCUGAUACUAUGUCGAAAUUUAGGGUCUAACUCAUUCUUACAAAACCGACUUGUAAGGUGAGGAGUGUCUCGUAUGGUUAUUUUGCAUAUUAUUGAGAAAAUGUAUUUGAUUCGAUGCUGGAAAAAUAAACGUCCAAGUUUUAACUUCAUAUCCACAUGAAAAAACUACAAUAUUAUUUAUCGUACGUAUGAUACAGUCCUAUCAAAUUGGAAUGUAAGCACGGACCGGUGAAUACAAGGGUAUUAUUUUAUUUUAUUUUGGGGGGGCGGGGGGAGGUGGGACCAAUAAGAGGGGCCGAUAGAACUAGUUUGUUGUUGUGGUAUAAAACUUACAUUGGCCCAAGUCCAUUAACCUAAACCUAAUUUCAUCUUCUCUCUCGGUGGAAAUUGCAUAUAAAAGUGGCCGCAUCCACAAUAUAUUUCUCCCCAAUUUCUUCUUCUUCCUUAUUUUUCCUUUGUUUUAUGUUUACCAGUUUUUUCGCGAUUCUUCAUACUGUUUGUUUUUCUGUUCACGUGUUCUCAUAUAUACUUUAUUUAUUAAAUCAAAUUUUCAAUAUCUCAGUGCCUCUUAAAUUCCAUUAGAGAUUGAUCCUUGAUUCAUCUGAAAAGUUCAGAAAUUAAUCUAGUUGUCAAACUGUGUGCUUUAAAUUUGAUUUACAACUAAUUUGUAACGACAAUACCAAUCAAUAGAAUUAUCAAUCUAAUAGUUUGACCAUUUCUUCUACAUGUUUUGUUUUUUCUCAAAAUUGUUCAGAUUUACAGAUCCAGUUUGAUCAUUGCAAUAAUGGAUGAAGGUCAAUCUGCAGAUGGGAAUGAAGAUAUUCAUCAAAUAAAAUUGUCAAAAACCUCCAAAUCAAAUCGACGAAAUACCAAAAGUAUCCAAAAAUAAUAUGUAUUUUUUUUUGAAAAGAUCCAUAAAUAUUAAAUUGUUAUCCAUUUAAUUGUUAAAUAUUCAAUAUUUAAAUGGUGGCUAACAUUCAUUUGUACAUUACAAAAUUUGAAUGAGCUUUUUUUUUUUUUUUUUUUUUUAAUUUUCAAUUCAAACUGCCAAAGAUGAUAACCAUGCUUUGGUCACUAUUCAAGACUCUAAAGGCUUGUUUGAUCUCAUAAUCAGUAAGUUUCAUAUAUUUGAAAUGAAUGUAUUUGAAUUCCAAAAGAAAAUUCAAGAUGAAUUUCAACUUCCUGAUAUAGGUUAGUAUCAUUUUUCCCUUCCAACUAAAUAUUAAGUCUAAUUUUUAGUCAUUAAAUAUACCUUGCAAUUUUUUAUUUUUUAUGUUUUCAAUACUCUAUAUUAAUAUUAUGCAGUAGUUUCACUAUAGUAUAAGUUAUGAUAUAUUUAAAUAUAUGACAUUUUACCUUUUGUUUCAAAUAGUGAUGUCUAAAGACAAUACAUGUACCAGACAUUAUCUCCAUGACUUUAGAACUUGGAGCAGCACGCUAUAUUGUUAACGCAUUUUGUGCUGAAAACUUUAGAGACAUUUGGAAGUAUGCAUUGGAAGCAAAGAAAAAUAAACUAUUUAUUG